AGGUACUAAAAUUUUAAAAAUACAAUGAAUCCACAAAAUGAAGAGGAUGUUAUUGAACAAACUGGACUUGAAAACUAUAGAUAUCAAUGGACUAGUCAAACCACAAAACUUUUGAUAGAAGAAGUAAGAAAUCAUAUCCCAGCAAACCAAUAUGUAACUGUUACAUAACCUAGGAAGCACAUAAAAAGAACAAUGUUAUGUUUCACGAUUAUAUAGACGAGAUGUAAGUGUUAUAUAACCUUGAAAGCACUUUAGAACAUAGUUAUAUUUCUUCGUUACGUAUAUAACUCAAGAUAGUUCUUUAAAAAGGUAAUAUAACACACACAUAACUCGUGAUACAUAACAUAAAUAUAACAACUGUAAUCGUUUAGCAAUAUAACAAAUGUUAUAUUACUAAUACAUAUAGAAUAUAUUAUUACAGAUAUUCAUUUAUUAUAAUAUAUUUGCGAUGUAACUUUAGUAACACACAAGUUAUUUUUUUCUCCUUAUAAAUUGGGAUUAUAGUUCAUGCACUUACCGCUAUGUGGCACGUUAUUUACUAUCUAUACCCGUAUUCAAGUUUCUAUCAAGCGUAUAUAAAGCCUGCGAAAUGCGGCUAAUAAAACAUUGUAAUAAUUA